rnacentral:rRNA from 1 species
ACCCGCUGAACUUAAGCAUAUCAAUAAGGGGAGGAAAAGAAACCAACAGGGAUUGCCUCAGUAACGGCGAGUGAAGCGGCAAAAGCUCAAAUUUGAAAUCUGGCGUCUUCGGCGUCCGAGUUGUAAUUUGUAGAGGUAGCUUUGGGUGUACAGCCAGGUCUAUGUUCCUUGGAACAGGACGUCAUGGAGGGUGAGAAUCCCGUAAAUGGCUUGGCCAGUGCCUAUGUAUAGCGCCUUCGACGAGUCGAGUUGUUUGGGAAUGCAGCUCUAAGUGGGUGGUAAAUUCCAUCUAAAGCUAAAUACUGGCGAGAGACCGAUAGCGCACAAGUAGAGUGAUCGAAAGGUGAAAAGCACUCCGGAAGGAGAGUUAAACAGCACGUGAAAUUGUUGAAAGGGAAGCGCUUGAGACCAGACUCAGGUAAAGUUGAUCAACCUCCAUUCUUGGUGGUGCACUCUUCUUUGCCCGGGCCAGCAACAGUUUUGGCGGUGGUAUAAAGGUUUAGGGAAUGUGGCUCUCUUCGGGGAGUGUUAUAGCCCUAUUCGUAAUGCUGCCUGUCGAGACUGAGGACCGCGCUUCGGCUAGGUUGUUGGCAUAAUGGUCUU